rnacentral:lncRNA from 1 species
AAUGCUGCUCAGAGCAACACUGAGAACAAUGAAAAUGCGGGUCAGAAUGAGAGCAAUGCUGCUCAGAGAAACACCGAGAACAAUGAAAAUGCAAGUCAGAACGAGAGCAAUGCAACUCAGAGCAACACUGAGAACAAUGAGAAUGCGGAUCAGAACGAGCACAAUGCUGCUCCAAGUAACACUGAGAACAAUGAGAAUGCGGGUCAGAACGAGAACAAUGCCACUCCAAGUAACACCGACAACAAUGAGAAUGCAGGUCAGAACGAGAACAAUGUGACUCAGAGCAACACUGACAACAGCAACAGCAACAACAACAACGAAAAUGCAAGUCAGAACGAGAACAAUGCUGCUCAGAGCAGUAACAACAAUGAAAAUGCAAGUCAGGAUGAGAACAAUGCAUCUCAGAGCUUCACCGACACCACCAACAACAAUGAAAAUGCAAGUCAGAACGAAAACAAUGCUUCUCAGAGCUACACCGACACCACCACCAAUGAGAGCAACGAUGCCAUUCAGAC